CCCCAGACACAUUUCCUGAUGUAGCUGUUGGUACUGUGUCUAACUGUCUCCAUGGCUCCAGCCCUGGAUGAUUAUAACACUGCUGGUCCCACUGUGCACUCUCUCCAGCUCUGUCCUUUGCCAGUAUAACUACGAGUCUGAACCCAUCAACACAACAUAAGGUUGCUCAGCGAGGGGAAAGAAGAGCUAGCAGUACUUGGCUCUUUCUUCACCAAGGCAACAGAAGAAAGCACACUGAAGUGAUGUCUGCAAGAAAGAUGCCAUCUGAACAGAAAUACAAGAUGCAGCCUACUGAAUCACAAGGAAUUAGUUAAGAACAGAUGGAUGUUUUAUUGCAAGACCACAGGAUCAGCUGCAUUGGAUCAGAGCACAGCUUCAUCUAGCUUCAUCAUUCAUCAGCUUCAAUCACAAUGGCUACUAUUAGAUGACCACAGAAGAGCAUAAGAAUAAGAUGGACAUCCAGCAAUCUUUCCUAGCAUUUUCCCAGCAAUUUGCAGCUAAAUGUCUUCCUGAAAGAGAAAGUGUCCUUAUGCAUAAUUUUCCUUUAUGUAUUUUUCUGGCAGUGCAGCGGUUGAUGAAAUACAGUCUAAGAAAGAGUCAUCCCUAUUUUGACUUCAAUGGAAGUUAAUAAUAUUUUCUGAAAAAAGGAGUUACUGUCUCAGAGCAAUUUCUGUCCUUGUCUUGGGAAGUUUUAUAGGAUAAUAGUAACACUACACUCACCACCUAUGAGUAAUCAUUUUCACUGCUUUCGUCUAGUAAGGAAAAAAAAAAGUUUGAAAAAUUUACAUGACACCAUGACCAAUCAAAA